rnacentral:rRNA from 1 species
GAAUUCGCCCUUGGGGAAUUUUCCGCAAUGGGCGAAAGCCUGACGGAGCAAUACCGCGUGAGGGAUGACGGCCUAUGGGUUGUAAACCUCUUUUUUCAGGGAGGAAUCAAUGACGUGUACCUGAAGAAUAAGCAUCGGCUAACUCCGUGCCAGCAGCCGCGGUAAGACGGAGGAUGCAAGUGUUAUCCGGAAUCACUGGGCGUAAAGCGUCUGUAGGUGGUUUAAUAAGUCAACUGUUAAAUCUUGAGGCUCAACCUCAAAAUCGCAGUCGAAACUAUUAGACUAGAGUAUAGUAGGGGUAAAGGGAAUUUCCAGUGGAGCGGUGAAAUGCGUAGAUAUUGGAAGGAACACCGAUGGCGAAGGCACUUUACUGGGCUAUUACUAACACUCAGAGACGAAAGCUAGGGUAGCAAAUGGGAUUAGAUACCCCAGUAGUC